GACGAACGCUGGCGGCGUGCCUAACACAUGCAAGUCGAACGGAACUGUUUUGAAAGAUUUCUUCGGAAUGAAUUUGAUUUAGUUUAGUGGCGGACGGGUGAGUAACGCGUGAGUAACCUGCCUUCAAGAGGGGAAUAACAUUCUGAAAAGAAUGCUAAUACCGCAUGACAUAUCGGAACCACAUGGUUUUGAUAUCAAAGAUUUUAUCGCUUGAAGAUGGACUCGCGUCCGAUUAGUUAGUUGGUGAGGUAACGGCUCACCAAGACCGCGAUCGGUAGCCGGACUGAGAGGUUGAACGGCCACAUUGGGACUGAGACACGGCCCAGACUCCUACGGGAGACAGCAGUGGGGGAGAUUGCGCAAUGGGGGCAACCCUGACGCAGCAACGCCGCGUGAAGGAUGAAGGUUUUCGGAUUGUAAACUUCUUUUAUUAAGGACGAAAAAUGACGGUACUUAAUGAAUAAGCUCCGGCUAACUACGUG
rnacentral:rRNA from 1 species